rnacentral:rRNA from 1 species
UACGUAGGGGGCUAGCGUUGUCCGGAAUCAUUGGGCGUAAAGCGCGUGUAGGCGGUUCGGUAAGUCCGCUGUGAAAGUCGGGGGCUCAACCCUCGAAUGCCGGUGGAUACUGUCGGACUAGAGUACGGAAGAGGCGAGUGGAAUUCCUGGUGUAGCGGUGAAAUGCGUAGAUAUCGGAGGGAACACCAGUGGCGAAAGCGGCUUCCUGGUCCAGCACCGACGUUCAGGCACGAAAGCGUGGGGAGCAAACAGG